CCCUUAGAUGUUCUGGGCUGCACGCGCGCUACACUGACGCACGCAACAGGUGCCUGCUCCGAGAGGACUGGGUAAUCAUUUGAGUGUGCGUCGUGAUGGGGAUAGAAUAUUGUAAUUAUUACUCUUCAACGAGGAAUUCCUAGUAAGCGCCAGUCAGCAGCUUGCGCUGAUUACGUCCCUGCCCUUUGUACACACCGCCCGUCGCUCCUACCGAUGGGUGAUCCGGUGAAUGAUUCGGACUUCAGCGGCUCCCCUGGGGUGCGCCGGGGAAAGUUUUGUGAACCUUAUCACUUGGAGGAAGGAGAAGUCGUAACA
rnacentral:rRNA from 1 species